rnacentral:lncRNA from 1 species
CAUUAAGUUGCUGAGGCUGGCCUUGAACUUGGAGUCUUCCUGCCUCAGUCUUCUGAGUUUCUGGGAUUACAAGAAUAUACCACUGUACCUGGCUAGUUCAUGCAAUUUUAAUACAUAAACAAUACAGAUGAGCAUUUGAAUUAGAUGGCCUUACAGUUUACUUAUCAGUAAGGUUGUCUAGUUAUUGUUCCUUUGCUUUGGGACUGAAUUCCUUAUAUGCCUGAAGUAGGCUAAAAUUGAGAGGCCCCAGGACAAAUGGUGCAUGCCUGUAAUCCCAGUGAUUUAAGAGAUUGACUUUGAGGCCAUCCUCUGCAAUUUGGUGAGACCCUGCCUCAAACAGUAGAAAUGACUGGCGACAGAGCUCAGGUUGGGGGACUCUCGGGUUAAGUCUCUAAUACUACACCUUGCUCCUUGAUUUUUCUUUUUUUUUUUUUCUUUCCUUUUUUGGACUGAGAAUGUGAAAAUCUCUCAAACCCUUUGCAUUGGACUCAGCGGUGCUUUUGACAGUCACUCUUACGCACCCCUUUCAGGCAGGGUAGGGGCCAGACCUGAAGCCUAACCCAUGCCGCUGUUAUAUUCCUGCUGACCCUCAUGAGUUCUGAGAACUCCUUCACUGCCCACUGUGCCUGUGUCUGUGCAAACAGGGCGAGUCCCAGGUUGCAUAUGGCUCCAAAGGACUCUGGAUCCAUUCAGUUCAUUGAGGUGUUAACUGAGAACAAGACUUUCAAACAACUUUAAAAAAACUCUUCAAUAUAUGAUGAAGUCUAAACUUCUAAAUGGGAAAAGGGUCCCCCCCCCCCUUUCAUUUGGAGCAGAAAUAGUCCUUUCAAAACAUUGAGCUUGGCACAUACCUGUAAUCCCAGCGGCUCGGGAAGGCUGAGGCAGGAGGAUCGCGAGUUCAAAGCCAGCCUCAACAAAAACGAGGCGCUAAGUAGCUCUGUGAAACUCUGUCUUUAAAUAAAUAAAAUAUAAAAUAGGGCUGGGGAUGUAGCUCAGUGGCCAAGUGCCCCUGAGUUCAAGCCCUGAUAUACAGCACCUCUCUCCCCCAUCAAAAGAAAAAAAAAAGUUGAAUUAGGGAUGGGAAUGUAACCUAGUUGUAGAGAAGAUGCUUGGCAUGCCUAAGUCCUUUGGUUCCAUCCACAGAAGUGCUUCAAACCAGUCAACCAGUUAGGUUAAGAUAGCUGUCAGUGUCUCCUGUUUCAGACCCAGCCAAGAGGCUAGCUGGUCGGCACAGCCCACUGAGGAGAGGCCAGGCUGGCCUGGGUACUGUCACUUUGGAGUGUGAGUAUCUUGCACAUCCUGGAUGGGAGGCUGUGGGGUUUUACGCUAGGUCUACACUGUUCUUAUAUUUGUUUUAGUUAAUAGCCACUUUUACAGAGAGACAGAACAGUGGAACAGAGAGAUAGUUGAAUUCCUUCUUCCCUCCCCCUCCCCCGGGGAUUGAUCUCAGGGGGACUGAACUCAAGGUGACUGAACCAUAGAGUCACAUCCCCACCCUUGUUUUGUAUUUUACUUAGAGUCAGGGUCUCACUGAAUUCCUCAGUGUCUUGCUGAGGAAGUUGGCUUUCUUGUGAAUUCCUACCAGAGAGAUAGAAUAAAUCUUAAUUUUAAAGUUUCCCACUUACAAAGUAAGAAUUUGUUUUAAAACUGCCUUAGCUGUCACUUUUUUUUUUUUCUGGACUUUUGUUGGGAUGGGGUAGAAUACUGGGAUUGAAUGCCAAAGUUCUCUACCACUGAGCUACAUCCC